UGUGUAAUGGUCGCAAAUAAAAAAAUUGGGCGUAAAAUCUCUUUCUUUUUGAGAUUUUAAAUUUGCCGCGCAAAGUUAGCGAAGACACAAACCAUGGCACGAUAAAGGGACAAUACACCUCUGCAAAUUAAAUUUCCUCUCCGUGGUGAAUUGUCUAGCGAAAGAUCGUAGGAGAAGGAGACGAGCUUUGUCACUUUGGCAACGACAGCUCUCAUUCUUUUCUUAUUGGACUACGAUCAGAGACGGAUGCAUUCUUGGUUGAUGGUGUUUUUAAUAAAACAAAUAUAAAACACAUGCAUCACCAGAAUAUAAAAGACAAACAUAAUCUGUCAUUAUCAUCAGCAUCCAUCGAUGCUUCUUUGCUUUGAGCAAAGAAAAGAAUCCAGCUCGUUACGCUUGCUACGCAAAGGUAAUUAUUUCUAGGAAAUAAUGAAAUUUUACAUUGGUCCUAACUUCGUAUUUUUUCUCAUAUGUAGAUUGUGAACAUUCGUCUAAGCCGUCAUUAUUUUCUAUUAAAUAAUACGGAUAGACAAAAUUCUACACCUAUAGUGGAUUUGAAUUCCACAAUUCCGGCGCAUGUUAGUCAGCGGAGGCCGACUAUUUCGUGCCGGAAGCCUUUUAUAUUUCUGGUCUGCCGCCUGCAGAACCAAAAAACAACAACAGUGAAGUGCAGUGCAUCUCUGGGCAGAUCACUCUUGCACCACUGUGCCGAGCCGCGCAAGGCUCUUGUACCAGAAUCGUCACUUCUCUCGUUUGCCGCUUCUAUCGUUCGCCGUCUCCACUCCGCAGCAGCAGCAUCAGCAGCAGUGCAGUGCCAGUGCCAGUGCUAGUGAAGAUGUGUAGUGCAAGUUUCUGAAUAAUAGUAUGACAAAAAUAAGUUUGUUAAAAUUAAAAGGUCAUACAAUAGUUGUACACAGAGGCAAUAAGAAAAGGGGUAAAAGCCCAAAUAAAAAGCAACAAGAUUUGCAUUUGCCGUCAAUUAAUAUAUUGACAACAACAAUUUAGUUGCCAUACAUAUAAAAUAAUAAGUAACAAAAAAGAUAACGAAAAGUAAAGAGAAAUAUCAAUUGUAAUUUGGCACUUAUUUUUUUUGCGCUAUUUUUUUUGGUUUGCUUUGUUUUGUUUACCAUUCUUGCCCUAGGCAUUAAAGGGUAUAACCAACGUGAAACACAAUAAUUAAAAAAUAUAUAAAUAAAUAAAUAAUGCAAAUAUAAUCUCGUACAUAAUAACAAGCCACCAUAAAACCCUGUGUAAAACAAUAAUAAUUAUGACAAUGUGUGUGUAUGUGAACAACCAAACAAAAAUAUAUACCCUAUAAGGUAUAUAAACAAUCAUUUUUAUCAUCAUCAUUAAAAUCAUCAUCAUCAUCAACAUCAUCAUUACCAACAGCAACAACAUCAUGAAGGCCUUCGUCGUGGAGUUCUGUCGGGUAAGUUUUAAGUCCGAGUGUCCGAAAUAAAAAUACAUAAAAGAAGUUUUAUAACAUAAAUAUUCGUACAUAUGUAAUUACAUACAUACAUACAUACAUAUGUUGGUGCCUAUUCGGCCACGCAGCAGCUGCCCACAGUUUUGCUUGCAUUGUAUUUUUUCAUACUUCUUCGCAGUUGCGAAAGCUUCAAACAGCAUAUGAGCUGUCGGCUGAUACCCUAACUUUUGGGUCAGGCCUAUACCUUUUUAGUACUGAUUUGCUUCCGCUUGUAUUGUCACUAUUAUUAUUGUUUGUUGGUACAGCACAGUGGUUUGAACAUGAUUUACAAAUAAAUUAAUAAAAAAUCAAUUUUAAUUUUGGAUAAAUAAAAUAUAAAAAGUAAAUAUAAAUAAAAUAAUAACAAUUAAAAAUAAAAUAAUAAAACUUAUAAAUAAAAUAAAUAAAAAUUAAAUAAUAAAUAUGAUUCAAUAAUAAAUACAAUAAAAUAAAUAUUAAACAUGAGUAAAAAUAUUAAACCAAAAAUAAAAAUAAAUUCAAUACAAUUUUUUUUUGUUUAAAUAUGAUUAAAAUAUUGCCAAAUAAUUAAAUUAAAAAAAAAAAAUAAAUCAAUAAAUAAAAAUUAUAAAAGUGGUUGAGAUAUUAAAAAAUCAAUAAAUAAAAAUAAAUAUCAAAAAUAAUUAAAAAAAAAAAAUGUUUCACAAUACAAUAAAAAUAAAAUAAAUAUUAAAAAUACAAAAUAACGAUUUGAGAAGAAAAUAAAGAUUUUAAAGUAAAAAUAGUAAAUUCAAUAGAAAAAUCUCAUGAAUCUGUUUUGCUAAAGCGCGCAUCCAAAAAUAGUUGCCAAAAUUGUUUUGCUUAUGAAUUAUUGAUUGUUUAUUAAAUAUUAUUAGUUUUUACAUCUUCUUUUUUUUUAUUAUUAUUGUAAAUGAGUAGUAGCCGUUGCUAAUAAAAAAAUGAAUAUUGUAUCGAAUUAAAAAUAACUGCCCUAUAAACCAAUUAUGAAAAUAAUUAUACCGCCAUAAUUCUAAUUAAAUUUUGAAAAAAUGGUUUUGUUUUUGGU